GUUUAUUCGACCAAGUUUUACCCUCAGAACCAUCUGGUAUUUGUGUGCUAAACCAAGAUGAAUUGUGUCUUAACAUGAAGGUGAUCUGAUCUUUGAUUGCUACAAAGAAACUUUUCCCUAAAAGUCCUCUAACAGGUUCCCUUUAGUGUUGGAAGGGCACAGUAACGUCUCCCUGGAGUCUUCUCCCGGAUGACCAAUCGCAGUGCUCUCAGGAUGUCUUCAUGGGAGAGGCGCUCCAGCCCUCAUGGCCCUCCUUUGGACCUGCCCCUCUGUGUAUUCC